rnacentral:tRNA from 1 species
AGAGGUUUAGGUUAAAAAGACCAAGAGCCUUCAAAGCUCUAAGCAAGUGCCAUACACUUAACCCCUG